rnacentral:rRNA from 1 species
AACGAACGCUGGCGGCAGGCCUAACACAUGCAAGUCGAACGAAGCCUUCGGGCUUAGUGGCGGACGGGUGAGUAACACGUGGGAACGUACCUUUUGGUUCGGAAUAACGCAGAGAAAUUUGCGCCAAUACCGAAUGAGCCCUUCGGGGGAAAGAUUUAUCGCCGAAAGAUCGGCCCGCGUUGGAUUAGGUAGUUGGUGUGGUAAAGGCGCACCAAGCCUACGAUCCAUAGCUGGUCUGAGAGGAUGAUCAACCACACUGGGACUGAGACACGGCCCAGACUCCUACGGGAGGCAGCAGUGGGGAAUCUUGCGCAAUGGGCGAAAGCCUGACGCAGCCAUGCCGCGUGAAUGAUGAAGGUCUUAGGAUUGUAAAAUUCUUUUACCAGGGACGAUAAUGACGGUACCUGGAGAAAAAGCCCCGGCUAACUUCGUGCCAGCCGCCGCCGUAAGAC